AAAAAAAAAGAAAAGAAAAGAAAAGAAAAAAGAAAAAAAGAAAAAGAAAAGUCUGGAGACAAAGCAAAACAUCUAUUCGGCAGGUCAACUGAUAGACUAAGGGCAUGUGUAUGGAGGCAGAGAAAUGGCUCAUGUACCCCUAAAAUUAUUCUUCAUGUGGGUUACAGUCCAUGGACCUACCUAAUCCUGUGAUCAUUCUAUUUCAGAACCUCAAUGUUCCUAUGAUGAUCCUGUAACAGAGAUAUGGACAACAACCCUGGAGCCUCCUUCAAAUUAUGGGACAUCACCAACAAUCAAUCACUAAGAGAAGAAAUAAUUUGGAAGAAGAAUUCAUUUUUGGUUACUCAAAUAUAACCCAAUUUAAAGGA